rnacentral:rRNA from 1 species
GACGAACGCUGGCGGCGUGCUUAACACAUGCAAGUCGAACGGAAAGACCCUGCUUUUGUGGGGUGCUCGAGUGGCGAACGGGUGAGUAACACGUGAGUAACCUGCCCUUGACUUUGGGAUAACUUCAGGAAACUGGGGCUAAUACCGGAUAGGAGCUCCUGCUGCAUGGUGGGGGUUGGAAAGUUUCGGCAGUUGGGGAUGGACUCGCGGCUUAUCAGCUUGUUGGUGGGGUAGUGGCUUACCAAGGCUUUGACGGGUAGCCGGCCUGAGAGGGUGACCGGCCACAUUGGGACUGAGAUACGGCCCAGACUCCUACGGGAGGCAGCAGUGGGGAAUAUUGCACAAUGGGCGGAAGCCUGAUGCAGCAACGCCGCGUGCGGGAUGACGGCCUUCGGGUUGUAAACCGCUUUCGCCUGUGACGAAGCGUGAGUGACGGUAAUGGGUAAAGAAGCACCGGCUAACUACGUG